UACAGAGGUCUCAAGCGUUGUUCGGAUUCAUUGGGCGUAAAGGGCGCGUAGGCGGCAAGGCAAGUCGGGUGUGAAAGCUUGGGGCUUAACCCCGAAAGGGCACUCGAAACUGCCCUGCUAGAGGGCCGGAGAGGAGAUCGGAAUUCACGGUGUAGCAGUGAAAUGCGUAGAGCUCGUGAGGAAGACCGGUGGCGAAGGCGGAUCUCUGGACGGCCCCUGACGCUGAGGCGCGAAGGCUAGGGGAGCAAACAGG
rnacentral:rRNA from 1 species